rnacentral:rRNA from 1 species
AAACUUUUCAGCUAGAGUAUGAUAGAGGAAAGCAGAAUUUCUAGUGUAGAGGUGAAAUUCGUAGAUAUUAGAAAGAAUACCAAUUGCGAAGGCAGCUUUCUGGAUCAUUACUGACACUGAGGAACGAAAGCAUGGGUAGCGAAGAGGAUUAGAUACCCUCGUAGUCCAUGCCGUAAACGAUGUGUGUUAGACGUUGGAAAUUUAUUUUCAGUGUCGCAGCGAAAGCGAUAAACACACCGCCUGGGGAGUACGACCGCAAGGUUAAAACUCAAAUGAAUUGACGGGGACCCGCACAAGUAGUGGAGCAUGUGGUUUAAUUCGAAGAUACGCGCAGAACCUUACCAACACUUGACAUGUUCGUCGCGACUUUAAGAGAUUAAAGUUUUCGGUUCGGCCGGACGAAACACAGGUGCUGCAUGGCUGUCGUCAGCUCGUGUCGUGAGAUGUUGGGUUAAGUCCCGCAACGAGCGCAACCCUCACUUUUAGUUGCCAUCAUUAAGUUGGGCACUCUGAAAGAACUGCCAGUGAUAAGCUGGAGGAAGGUGGGGAUGACGUCAAGUCCUCAUGGCCCUUACGUGUUGGGCUACACACGUGCUACAAUGGUAUCUACAACAGGAAGCAAAACUGCGAAGUUAAGCAAACCCUUAAAAGAUACCUCAGUUCGGAUUGCACUCUGCAACUCGAGUGCAUGAAGCUGGAAUUACUAGUAAUCGUGGAUCAGCGUGCCACGGUGAAUGCGUUCCCGGGUCUUGUACACACCGCCCGUCACACCAUGGGAGUUGGUUCUACCUUAAGGCAAGGUUUAAAACCCUUGACCACGGUAUAGUCAGCGACUGGGGUGAAGUCGUAACAAGGUAGCCGUAGG